rnacentral:rRNA from 1 species
CCUACGGGGGGCAGCAGUGAGGAAUAUUGGUCAAUGGUCGGGAGACUGAACCAGCCAAGCCGCGUGAGGGAUGAAGGUACAGAGUAUCGUAAACCUCUUUUGUCAGGGAACAAAGGCGGGGACGUGUCCCCGGAUGAGUGUACCUGAAGAAAAAGCAUCGGCUAACUCCGUGCCAGCAUCCGCGGUAAUACGGAGGAUGCGAGCGUUAUCCGGAUUUAUUGGGUUUAAAGGGUGCGCAGGCGGUCUGUUAAGUCAGCGGUCAAAGCCCGGGGCUCAACCCCGGCCCGCCGUUGAAACUGGCAGUCGCGAGUUGGAGAGAAGUAUGCGGAAUGCGCGGUGUAGCGGUGAAAUGCAUAGAUAUCGCGCAGAACUCCGAUUGCGAAGGCAGCAUGCCGGCUCCACACUGACGCUGAGGCACGAAAGCGUGGGUAUCGAACAGGAUUAGAUACCCGUGUAGUC